rnacentral:lncRNA from 1 species
AUUAACAACAAACAACUUCAUAAUAUAAUUCGAUUGUCUUAAUACAAGAGUUAAUAAUUUCAUAGUUUUGGAGCACUAACUUGACACAAAAGGAAGGUACAAAUUACAACCAAAAGGCAGGUUCGGAAGGUUCAACAAAAGUAACCUGCUAUCAAGCUAUAAGCCUGAAAAGGAUAAAUAAUGAGAGGGUGAGUUCAACAACUCAGUGAGUAGAUAACGUUCAAUAUACACACACGAGGUAAUAUAACAAUGAGAAAUAUAUAUACAAGUAUGGCUUUAGUUCUUAUACGAAGGUUUAUCAAAUAGGCCAUAACAAGAAUAUCAUAUGGUAAAACUCGUCAGAAAAUCAAAAUGCAAUGAGCAUGAGGCUCCGUACUGUGGGAUGAUCAGUCCACACAGGUUGGUGACUCCCCCGACCAACUAGGGUUCAGAUACGAUGUGCACAAAGACUAACACUACCCUGUUAGCAUGGGUAUUCUGACUGACAUACCAUAGGUUCAUAAUCAUAAUCAAACAAACAUAUUCAUAUCUCAAAGCUCAACUCAUGACAUCCAUCAAAUGAGGAGCUAUCAAUUCAGAAGUCAAAUCAUAUUGGUUCAUAUCAAGAAUCAGAUUCAAUAAUUGAUCAUGCUUUAUCAUAUCAAGGAUAAUAAUCAGCAUAUAUAUUAUCAAGAAGCAUGAUCCAAUUCAUAUUAACAAAUCAAAUAUUUAUAAUAUUUCUCAUGCAUAUGGAAAAUUAUCCACUCACCUGACUCAAAAGCAAACAACACACACAAGCUGAAACCGAAGGAAAUUCUACUGACGUCCUGCCGGUAGAAUAUCAGGAUUAUCUGAAUACAAAGGAGACAUAUUCAAAAACGACUCGAAAGAACAUUUAACCUAUUUAAUACACUUAACUAAGGGUGUAUUCCGUAACCCUAUAUAUUUUUGAACUAACUAGUCAAUUUUCUUAAAAACCCAAAAUCUAACGGUUUUCCCGAAAUCUAAUCCAUAAUAAAAACAACUAAUAAAAUUGGUAAUAAUUCACUAAAUAACCCUUAAUUAUUCAUCAAACUAAUCUGCAAAAGCUAAUAUUACAGCUAGGGACUAAUCUGGAAUUUUUCCAUAUUUUUAGGGCCAAAUUGUAACUUUUGUCAAAUGGAGGACCAAACUGAAAUUUGUCAUAAAUCCAUGAAUAUACUGAAAUUCUGACCUUAAUUAAUCCUCAAUUCUGUCCAGGAUGUAUCAUUAUGCUUCAGGGAUCAUUCUGGAAUUUUACUAAAUUUUAGGGUCAAAUUGUAAUUUUUGUUAAAUUGGAGGACUAAAUUGAAAGUGUUAAAUUCUCUUAUCUAUACAGUAAUUAUGUCCAUAAUUCAUAUGUUAUUCUGUUCAGAAUCUCGGAAUAUGCUCCAGGGACCAAUUUGUAAUUUUCCAAAGUUCGGGGACUAAACUGUAAUUUUCGGAAAUUGAGGGACCAAAUUGAAUUUUCGUCAUCUUCAACCUCCAGUCCAGAUUUUAACAGAAACCCCACUGUUCUCCCCUGAUUUCUAACUCAAUUUCACCAUUUACACAAUUCUAUAACUCAAAAUCAUCAUAAUCUUCCAUAAUCAACUAAAUCAUCAAUUAACACAACAAUCAACCCCUAACCUUCAAUUUAAUUCAUCAAUUUAAAUCAAACACAAAUUCUCAAAACCCUAACAUUCAUAAAAACUGAAAUUAAAGCUUAAUUAACAUAUUAUACACAUUAAACAACCUAAAUCUUACCUUUUUCACUUAUUUCCUCCAAUUCUCUUCCUUUUUCCCUUAUUUUCCCCUCUUUUCUCUUCUUCUUCUUUCCUUUCUCACUUCUGCCGAUUCUCUUCCUCUCAAAAUCAGAUUUCUAUUUUUUUUUUUUUUUACUUCCUUUUAUAUUUAUCAACUAUUUAUCCAAUUACUACUAUACCCCUCAUUUAAUUUAUUCCUACAUCUAAGCCUUCAAGGGGUUUCUAGGCUUUUCCUAUCUCAUUAAUUCAAAAC